CUGAUUGAACGUGCUUGCACGGACUUGACGUUGGUUUACCAGCGAGUGGCGGACGGGUGAGUAACACGUAGGUAACCUGCCCCAAAGCGGGGGAUAACAUUUGGAAACAGAUGCUAAUACCGCAUAACAAUUUGAAUCGCAUGAUUCAAAUUUAAAAGAUGGCUUCGGCUAUCACUUUGGGAUGGACCUGCGGCGCAUUAGCUUGUUGGUAGGGUAACGGCCUACCAAGGCUGUGAUGCGUAGCCGAGUUGAGAGACUGAUCGGCCACAAUGGAACUGAGACACGGUCCAUACUCCUACGGGAGGCAGCAGUAGGGAAUCUUCCACAAUGGGCGCAAGCCUGAUGGAGCAACACCGCGUGAGUGAAGAAGGGUUUCGGCUCGUAAAGCUCUGUUGUUAGAGAAGAACGUGCGUGAGAGCAACUGUUCACGCAGUGACGGUAUCUAACCAGAAAGUCACGGCUAACUACGUGCCAGCAGCCGCGGUAAUACGUAGGUGGCAAGCGUUAUCCGGAUUUAUUGGGCGUAAAGCGAGCGCAGGCGGUUUGAUAAGUCUGAUGUGAAAGCCUUUGGCUUAACCAAAGAAGUGCAUCGGAAACUGUCAGACUUGAGUGCAGAAGAGGA
rnacentral:rRNA from 1 species